GUCAUACUCACUCCGUCCCAAAAUUCUUGUCUUAGAAUUGUCUAGAUACGGAUGUACCUAAUACUAAAAUGUGACUUGAUACAUCGGUAUCUAGACAAAUCUAGGUACAUCCGUAUCUAGACAAUUCUAAGACAAGAAUUUUGAGACGGAGGGAGUACAAU
rfam:Triticum urartu cultivar G1812 contig312011, whole genome shotgun sequence.